AGCAGCGUGGCUCAGUGGAAAAGGGCCUGGGCUUCGGAGCCGGAGGUCAUGGGUUCGACUCCCGGCUCUGCCA
rnacentral:tRNA from 1 species